CAUCUUAACAGAUCAUUUCUCCCCCUCGGCAGAACUUAGGGCCCUAUGAGGGAGGCACCAGGAGGCUCCGUAAUCCACCGACAUCUUCUCUUUUACCUUAAACUCCUUCCCGAAGCAUCCUCCUAGCCCACCGUGGCAAUCAAGAGACCUCCUUCCUAAAAGGUGCGCUGCAGACUGAACCCGAGAUGUUGCUUCAGCUCCAGACGAAAGCUUUGACUCCUAAAGACAUGGAAUCCGAGCGUCAGAGCCCAGAGGUCUGAAUUCCCCCGCUGUCCCUGAAGUCAAGGCCCCAGCUGGCUCUCCAGUAGCUGUUAACCACCAAAGGGCUAACCUUUGCAUGGAGGUUCUUCACAAACCCAGCCGGCAGAAGACAGUCUCCAGUAAUAUCGCCUCCAGGGAGCCCAUGUAGGAGAAAAAGUUGGAAGCCUCUGAAAUCGGAUGGCUUAGGUUUCAGUGUACGAUGCUACAAAGAUGACAUGGGCCAUCUGUGCUUCAGUCUCUCCAUCAGCAAAAUGAGGACAUUAAUAUACCGACCUUGGAGGACCGUUUCGAAUUUCUUGCAGGUAACAGAACGACAUGGUUGGCAGCGUGGACUCUGAAGCCAGAUUCGUGCGGGUUUCCAUCUGAGCCCCACCGCUUGCUUACUGCCUAGCCUCAGCAAGUGAACUCACCUUUUGCUUUGUGCCAGUUUGCUCAGAUGCAAAAUGGGGACAAUAAUACAAACCUCCCAUAGUUGUUACAAAGAUUAACAUUUUAAAAUAAUUUAGACCAGUGUCUGGCUUGUAUAACAAGUACUUUUUGUGCAUUGAGUGUGGUAUUUGACCCUGAGUAAGAAAGUUAUACAUUAAUAUCAGAAUUAGUGUUAACCUCCGUGUGAGCAGGAGUAAUGCUGUAAAUGAGGGGAAAAUGGGGUAAUAACUCCAAGGACAGAAGAGAAAGGGACAAGAUACUCGUAGUUAGAAGAAAUUGCCUCUCAGCAAUCCCAUUGUGCCAGGCUUCACGUCACAGCUAGAACCAGGAUGUAAUACUUGGGUGUAUCUCAGUGACCCAGGAUCUCCCACUGGAAACACAUCAGGCACCCGCAUGCUGUUCUCGUGAGAAGUCCGGAAGCUUAUCUCUGAGGUGAGCAGAAGGGAGACCAGGGGCGGAAGCGACCGUGUGUGGCAAUCGUGGGUCUCAGUGACUGUAGACACAGGAAAUACUUCAUUCUUAGCAAAAAUGAGUCAUAGAUCAUGUUCCAUAAUCACACAGACACAGCAUGUCAGGCAGAGGAGCUGUGCUUGUCCAAGAAAUGUAAACAACAACAGUCCUUGACUUUCCGUCCUGCAGGGUCAUGAAGACCUGCCCUGUGUCACUGGCCAUUUCUUUAAGUCACAGCUGAAAAAGUGACACCUAUUUAUUCAAAGAACAGAGUCAGAAAAGAUGUGCUGAUCUGAUAAAUGGGUAAUAGGAUAUACUUGGUUUGUUUUAUGUGUUAGACCUCUCCCUAAGUAUUUGGGUGCAGAAAAAAAAAAUGGAGCCGUAAAUCAUGAUGAAUAUUUGAUUAAAACAACCCCACAGCAACUCUGAAAAAUCUACUUAAAUACAAAUAAUCACCCUAA